rnacentral:tRNA from 1 species
GGAGAGGUGUCUGAGCGGCUUAAAGUCCUGGUCUUGAAAACCAGCGUAACAUUAUGUUACCGAGGGUUCGAAUCCCUCCUUCUCCUU